UGUCUGUGUGGCUCACAACGGGUGUGACGGAGCUGUGGGGAAGAGGCCCGAGCAACUUUACGUGAGAAAAACUUCAAAGUAUUUCAUAUACUCACCAAGACAGGAAAUGCUUCAGUCAAAGAUCCUCUUUCUGGAAGGGAAGAAAACUUAUAGAACUCAUGACUUCGAUACGCUCUCUGUUUCACAAGUUGCACCGCAUGCAGGACGAACUUGGCUGACACAUCGGAGGAGCACGAAGACACAGUAACUUCUACGUGAAAGAAAACGUUAAUUUUAAAUUUUAAAAAGCUGCAACGUA